rnacentral:rRNA from 1 species
UACGUAGGGUGCGAGCGUUUGUCCGGAAUUAUUGGGCGUAAAGAGCUUGUAGGCGGUUUGUCGCGUCUGCUGUGAAAAUCCGGGGCUCAACCCCGGACUUGCAGUGGGUACGGGCAGACUAGAGUGUGGUAGGGGGAGACCUGGAAUUCCUGGUGAGCGGUGGAAUGCGCAGAUAUCAGGAGGAACACCGGGUGGCGAAGGCGGGUCUCUGGGCCGAGCAUUGCGCUGAGGAGCGAAAGCGUGGGAGCGAACAGGAUUAGACUCCC